rnacentral:rRNA from 1 species
AACGAACGCUGGCGGCGUGGUUUAGGCAUGCAAGUCGAGCGAGAAAGUCCUUCGGACGAGUACAGCGGCGAAAGGGUAGAGUAAUAUAUAGGUAACCUACCUCUUGGACUCGGAUAAUUCCUGGAAACGGGUUGUAAUACGAGAUCGUCCUAUUGGGUCGCAUGGCCCGACUGGUAAAUGGUAGCUCUGCUUCUGCCGAGAGAGGGGCCUAUAUCCUAUUAGCUAGUUGGUGAGGUAAUGGCUCACCAAGGCUUUGAUGGGUAGCCGGACUGAGAGGUUGGCCGGUCACACUGGGACUGAGACACUGCCCAGACUCCUACGGGAGGCUGCAGUCGAGAAUCUUCCGCAAUGGGCGAAAGCCUGACGGGGCGACGCCGCGUGAACGAAGAAGG